GCAAAACUCACCAAAAUAAAAGCUGCACUGACAGUGGAGAAGAAAAAACAACUGUACUACGGGGAUCUGCAACACCAGAUUAUUAUUGGUCAAUCACUGCUCUCUCUCCUAAACUAAGAUGGAAUGGAUUUCUUUAAUAUUCAAGACUGUGAGCUAAGAUCAUCAGUGAAGACUCAGGAGUUCAAGCUUCCUGGAGUGGAUUCUUCAGAUUUCCAGACAACGAUUUUCUCCAAAAAAGUUGCACCAAGCAAAAAAUUACCUCAAUACACAUAAUGGCAAGGAAAUCUUUUGAAGAAAAAAUUGCAAAUGUUUUGGCAUACAUAAGGAGUAGCACAUAUCCUGAAGGAAUGAAUAAAGCAGGCAGACUGAACCUGCGUCGAUAUGCUGUCAACUUUUCAUUGGAAGAGGGGAGAUUGUUCCAUUCAGCAAAAGGAAGAAAGGUUGUCAUUGUGCAUACCAUGAAAGAAGCCCUGCAACUCUUUAAAAGGUAUCAUGACAGUCCAGAGGGUGGACAUCUAGGAAUAUUCAAAACCAGGAAUGCGCUGACAUCAAAAUACUAUUGGCCAGGGAUGACAGAAGACAUUGCCAAUUGGGUUGCACAGUGUCUGACUUGCCAGAAAGAGGGAAAGCAAUCAAAUCUGGAUACCACCUUGAAAAGCAUAAAGGUGAAUUUUUGAAUCAGACACGUUAUUGUUUAUCAUUAUCCAUGGUUAUUUCUGCAAUACAAUGAGGCUUUGAUUUUGAAACAAGUCCAAUGCAUGUAAGUGGCACAGCAUAGUGCAGCAAUUAC